CGGUUUGGACGGCUGGGCUGGAUACCAAGAAGCGGUUUACCGUCCCACAUACAUAUUCAAAAUGUAUGUGGGACGGUAAACCAUUUCUUCAAGUACCGCACGGUGGCAGUGACGGCUG
ensembl:miRNA